UUAAAUAACAUUUUGUUAUUUUUAAUUUCCACGUAUGUCAAAAUGUAAGUCAAUUCCUUUCUGUGAUUAGUUUCAGAGUAAAAAAUGUCUG